rnacentral:rRNA from 1 species
UGGGGAAUAUUGCACAAUGGGGGAAACCCUGAUGCAGCGACGCCGCGUGAGUGAAGAAGUAUUUCGGUAUGUAAAGCUCUAUCAGCAGGGAAGAAAAAAUGACGGUACCUGACUAAGAAGCACCGGCUAAAUACGUGCC